UACAGUCUUGUUCCAAGCUUACAGAGAAGGGAGAGCACAAAGUUGAACUAUUAAAGCAUUUAUCAGUCUCCUGACAUUGAUAAAGCCCUGCGCUGGGAAGGGGAUAGCGAGUUUCUCAGCAGAACUGUGCCUCCUUGGCAGCACAGUGUGCUGGGCCAGGAGCAGCAAACCACCCCUCGUGGUGGCCGGGGAGCUGAGUGUGUGCAGAGGGACUGUGGCGCUCUGAAGGGCAGUGGCUGCAGCCUGCCUGAAGCCCCAGGUCUCACCACUUUCGUGAAGCCAAGCAACAAGAUGCUAAAGCAUCGUCUUCCUCCAUCCACUAAAGGAUAGAAAAUAAGGAAUUGUCUGUAUUUGCUCCAAUCUGUUCUCCAAGGCAUCUCGUGAUGUGGCAGGAGACUUUGCAAGCUGCACUUGCAGUGACUGGGCACACCAGAGAAGAGGCCGUGUCCUAAAUUAGCUGAUGCAACAGAAUUCUGAGGAUGUUUUCUGGUUGCUGAUGGGAACAGAGAAGAAGAGAGGAUCUUGCACUGAAAUGGAAAAAAAAAAAUCACAUAAUCCGCUUCACAUGAGUUUUGUGUUUGGAAAAUGAGGACAUGGAAGAGGUCCAUCUUUGCUGCCAUUUGGAAACAACUGCAAAAAAAAAAAUUAAAAAGGUAUGAAAGUCAAACUAGGCCAGUGGCAAAUCUUCUGCACUGGUUUGUGCCCAAACACAAUAUAGAUGAUAGAUAAAUUCAACUCCAGUUUUUGGGCAAAUUGUAAUGCUUGGAGAUGAAGGAUACAGAUACAGGCAUUUUGUCCUCAGAGGCAAAUGAGUGCAGUAAUUUCCUUGGUACAAAACCAGAGCUAAACAGACACCUUCCACAAGGUCUUCUGGCCUGGCUUUGCACCUUUUUAGGCUCUUGUCCUG